UGCCAAGUCGAGCGGGAUUGGUAGCAAUACCCAUGAGAGCGGCGSACGGGUGAGUAACGCGUACACGACCUACCUUUGACUGGGGGAUAGCCCUGGGAAACUGGGAUUAAUACCGCAUAUAAUUCUGAAUAAUAAAGGUUUGGAAUGAAAGUUCAGGCGGUCAGAGAUGGGUGUGCGUCUGAUUAGCUAGUUGGUAAGGUAACGGCUUACCAAGGCGAUGAUCAGUAGGGGGCGUGAGAGCGUGRWCCCCCACACGGGUACUGAGACACGGACCCGACUCCUACGGGAGGCAGCAGUAAGGAAUAUUGGACAAUGGCCGCAAGGCUGAUCCAGCCAUCCAGCGUGCAGGAAGAAGGCCCUACGGGUUGUAAACUGCUUUUGUCAGGGAAUAAACCUGUGGAUUUACUCCGCAGCUGAAGGUACCUGAAGAAUAAGCACCGGCUAACUCCGUGCCAGCAGCCGCRGUAAUACGGAGGGUGCGAGCGUUAUCCGGAAUUACUGGGUUUAAAGGGUGCGUAGGCGGCCAUGUAAGUCAGGAGUGAAAGUUUGCGGCUCAACCGUAAAAUUGCUUUUGAUACUGCAUGGCUGGAAUCAGGAUGAGGUYAGCGGAAUGUGGCAUGUAGCGGUGAAAUGCAUAGAUAUGCCAUAGAACACCAAUUGCGAAGGCAGCUGGCUAGACCUGUAUUGACGCUGAGGCACGAAAGCGUGGGGAGCGAACAGGAUUAGAUACCCUGGUAGUCCACGCCCUAAACGAUGCUUACUCGACGUAUGAAGCUAGUCU
rnacentral:rRNA from 1 species